rnacentral:rRNA from 1 species
UACAGAGGGUGCAAGCGUUGUUCGGAAUUACUGGGCGUAAAGGGCGCGUAGGCGGCCAGCACAAGUCAGUUGUGAAAUCUCCGAGCUUAACUCGGAAAGGUCAACUGAUACUGUGCGGCUAGAGUGCAGAAGGGGCAAUCGGAAUUCUUGGUGUAGCGGUGAAAUGCGUAGAUAUCAAGAGGAACACCUGAGGUGAAGACGGGUUGCUGGGCUGACACUGACGCUGAUGCGCGAAAGCCAGGGGAGCAAACGGG